UCGAUCUUUAAUUUUUAAUAAUAAGGUUUGGCGCACACAUUCAAAAAAAUAUGCACCGUCUCCAUGGUCUCUCUCUUCUAUAUAUGGACAGAAGAGUAACGCUGCAUGACUAUUGGCUGCGCAGGUGAAGUUCGCUGUGCUGAUUGGCUUAGUAAUACCCUGAUAUAGUGACACCAAUGCAGAUGUUCCAGAAAUCUCCCUGAGGUGAGUGGGCUGGUUUGCUUUUCUACUGUCUGCCUUUAAUAACGAAUUUUGAGAAAUGAAAUAUGUUUCCCAGGUGGUGUAUACUACUAUUGUUGAUUGAAGUUUGUGAAUACAUUAGCCAAUUCUGAAUAUUACCGCAAUAUUGCAUGAACGAGUGCAUUUUUUAAGGUAUUUUAGCAGAGGUUAGUCAUUGACGUUAGGCCGCUGCUGAAUUUUAGGACAGUAUUGGGAUAGUAUUUCCUAAUAUUAACCGCCUAUUUAAGAAAUAAUGUUGUGUGAGGCCACUGUGAGGAACUGUAUAUCAGUAGGCCUGAUUAAUGCUGCGGCGUGGUGAUUAAUGCAAGUAUUUGUGCUGUUUUAUAAGCGUCUAUAUAGUGGUCUUUCACUGAUCGGCCACGAGGUAGAAAUAGACAGAGCUCUGAAACUACACACAGACCGCCGUGUCUGACAUGCUAGUGAUGGCGAAUCGGCUCAGAUUCACACACGGCGUCCGCGUGAGAUUGAUCUUUGAGCUUCAUCUCCUGAGCAAUUCUUGAGCAUUACGAGCACUACAAACUCUCCACUGCACAAUAUCCAACCAUCUAUUCAGAGUAGAACCUGCAUUUUUCACUGCAGCUGAACGCCUGGUUUUGGGAUUUCUCUAACCAGCAGUUCUCCUGAAUUGUACUUCCCACCCAUCAACCCCAACCCACCCUUCCCUCCCCUCCCCAACCUCCCA